rnacentral:rRNA from 1 species
UUGCGNNUGGGCGAAGCCUGACGCAGCGACGCCGCGUGCGGGAUGAAGGCCUUCGGGUUGUAAACCGCUUUCAGCAGGGACGAAGCGAAAGUGACGGUACCUGCAGAAGAAGCGCCGGCUAACUACGUGCCAGCAGCCGCGGUAACACGUAGGGCGCAAGCGUUGUCCGGAAUUAUUGGGCGUAAAGAGCUCGUAGGUGGUCCACUACGUCUGUUGUGAAAAUCCAGGGCUUAACCCUGGACUUGCUGCGGAUACGGGUGGACUAGAGGUAGGUAGGGGAGAAUGGAAUUCCCGGUGUAGCGGUGAAAUGCGCAGAUAUCGGGAGGAACACCGGUGGCGAAGGCGGUUCUCUGGGCCUUACCUGACACUGAGGAGCGAAAGCGUGGGGAGCGAACAGGAUUAGAUACCCUGGUAGUCCACGCCGUAAACGUUGGGCGCUAGGUGUGGGGUCCUUCCACGGAUUCCGUGCCGCAGCUAACGCAUUAAGCGCCCCGCCUGGGGAGUACGGCCGCAAGGCUAAAACUCAAAGAAAUUGACGGA